rnacentral:rRNA from 1 species
UUGAAAGGGAAACGAUUGAAGUCAGUCGUGCUGGCGCGAAAUCAACCCUCUCGUCGAGAGGUCACAUGGCGUGGCGAGCCUCAAAACCGUCACGAAGCGUGAACUCUUGGCGAAAAGGAGCACUUUUGUGUCCGCUGGUUAACAUCAAUUUCGAACGUCAUAAAAAGGCUGGAGGGAUGUGGCUCCUUCGGGAGUGUUAUAACCCUUGGCGGAAUGUGACGAUUGGGAUUGAGGUUUGCAACGAAUACCUUUAGGGCAGUUCCUUCUGGUCUCUUGUUGACGUUCAGAUGGCGACAGCUUGCUGACGUUGUUAGGAUUCGCCUUUGAACAGGCUAGAGUGUGAGCAAAUUCGUUAAGGAUGUUGACGUAA